rnacentral:lncRNA from 1 species
AUGGACAUGGACCUGAGUUUAACCAUCACAUCCCUGAAAUGGAUCAGCGUGUGUUUUUUUGUGGCACCUUGCGUGUACCGAGCUGAUGCUCAGAGCUCCUUUCUUUUCAAGAGGAGUGCCCGUACCACCAUGACCAUCUCUGUUCUUGGUGGAUGUUUGUGGCCAGUCCUGCCUGAAUGUCACAGGGGCUCAGCAAGGCUGGGGGUGUUUUCAUGCCUGUCCUGCACCCUGCCAGCUAAACCACUGCCUACAAGCACAUUGGUUAUCUGGAAAGGGUGUUGCAGGGUGUGCCUGCACCACAGGUCCUGUUCUGCGCCCCAGGCAGCACACACAGGAUUCAGCCACCACCAUAUGUCUGAGAGUGAGUGUGUCAAACAAGGGCUGAAAGUCCCAGUGAAACAGAGAGUUAUGGUGUCACAGACCAUCUGAUGGGAUGAGGGAGUUGGAGGGAAGCAAAGUUUCCACAAGAACUAAUGCUGUUUUAUGAAAUCUUCCAACUUGG